rnacentral:lncRNA from 1 species
AUUUUCAUAGAAGGGGGAUGGGCUCACUGACUGCCUUAAAAGGGGACCCGCUGUAGUCUUGCUUCAACGAUUCUUAAAGUGGGAGACUGAAGAAUGAUGGAAGUUUAAAUAUAUAGUCAAAUGCAUAAGGGAGCAACCAUUUAAUAUCAAUGUGUUUUUGUCUGAGUCAGAAUACUUUUAUCAGAGACCAGAAUACUUUCUUAGGGAAAAUAACAAACCCCAUCCCUCCUUUGAAAAUAAAUGGUCGUUUUCUUAUUGUGUAAUAUUAAGUUAGUGUUUAUAGUAAAUAGGAAAUAACGGGCCACCAAAUAAUAGAAAACUUGAGAUCAAUAAGUGCACUUAUAGCUACAAAGAAUAAAGAAAAAUUGAAAAAAACUAAAUAAACAGAGAGAGAAAUUAAAGUAUAUAAAAAUAAAGACCCCUUUUCCUAUACCAUACAGACCCUCUGAUAUGACGGUUUCAACGAUAAGUUGACGAUAACGUUAUCUGCGAAAGUGAGUGUUCCCCUAUACCGACCGUAGUCAUUUAAAGAUAAUGUAUACAGUGACCAUGGGUUGAACCAGGUGAAAACGAUCUACCUUCACGAGCUUACAUCGAAUUGUAUUACAUACAUUUAUGUAAAAAACUUACUUUGCCUCAUUACUUUCUAAGUACUUCUCUUACGGGUUUUAUAAAUCUAUAUGUUCAAAGUUUUUCGAUAAUAUGUUUUGUUAUAU